rnacentral:lncRNA from 1 species
AUUACUUAAAAGUAGUUGGAGUUUGAGCAUGGAGUUCAGCAGGCCACGUGGUAAAACCUACCACAUGAUGAUUGUUCUCCUGCAGUUAUCCUCUCCGUAGCAACAUAACAUUGGUAUUAACUCAAGCUUGAUGAUCACCAGCUCUUGGUAGUAAUUCAAGGUAUUCAGUAUGACUCAAGUCUCUCAACAAAAGUUCCACCCAAACUAAUGGUACAUUUAUUCCUAGGGUUUUUUUUUUUUUUUUUGGAUGGAGUCUCGCUCUGUCACCCAGGCUGCAGUGCAGUGGCACAAUCUUGGCUCACUGCAAGCUCCGCCUCCCGGGUUCACGCCAUUCUCCUGCCUCAGCUUCCCGAGUAGCUGGGACUACAGGCGCCGAUACGGGGUUUCACUGUGUUAGCUAGGAUGGUCUCUAGAAGAAAAGAUGAUCAAUGGGUACAAACAUAGAGUUAGUUGGAAGCUAUAAGUUCUUAUUUUUUUUUCCUUUGAGACAGAGUUUUGCUCUUGUCACCCAGGCUGGAGUGCAAUGACCCAAUCUGGGCUCACUACAACAUGCCUGACCUCAGGUGACCUGCCCACCUCGGCCUCCCAAAGUGCUGGGAUUACAGGUGUGAGCCACCACUCCUGGCUGGAAAGUAUUUUAAGUUCUAAUGUUCAAUAGCAGAAUAGAGUGACUAUAGUUAACAACAAUGUAUUGUAUAUUUCAAAAUAGCGAGAAGA